rnacentral:rRNA from 1 species
CGGGGUCAGCGGCAGACGGGUGAGUAACGCGUGGGAACGCGCCUUCGGUUCGGAAUAACUCAGGGAAACUUGAGCUAAUACCGGAUACGCCCUUUUGGGGAAAGGUUUACUGCCGAAGGAUCGGCCCGUGUCUGAUUAGCUGGUUGGUGAGGUUACGGCUCACCAAGGCGACGAUCAGUAGUUGGUCUAAGAGAAUGAUCAGCCACACUGGGACUGAGACACGGCCCAGACUCCUACGGAAGGCAGCAGUGGGGAAUAUUGGACAAUGGGGGCAACCCUGAUCCAGCCAUGCCGCGUGAGUGAUGACGGCCUUAGGGUUGUAAAGCUCCUUUCUCCGGGACGAUAAUGACGGUACCGGAGGAA